rnacentral:pre_miRNA from 1 species
GGGGGAGCGCCGGAUCUUGGGCAGUGUCCCCUGGCACCUUGGGCUCCUGGGCCUGCACUGUUGGAAUCCCGCUCCCGGCCAACAGUUCCCU